rnacentral:rRNA from 1 species
GACAGAGGAUGCAAGCGUUAUCCGGAAUGAUUGGGCGUAAAGCGUCUGUAGGUGGCUUUUUAAGUCCGCCAUCAAAUCCCAGGGCUCAACCCUGGACAGGCGGUGGAAACUACCAAGCUGGAGUACGGUAGGGGCAGAGGGAAUUUCCGGUGGAGCGGUGAAAUGCGUAGAGAUCGGGAGGAACAUCAGUUGCGAAGGCGGCUCUCUGGACCAGCACUGACACUGAGGCACGAAAGCGUGGGGAGCAAACAGG